UGGUUCCGCAUGGAAGGGCCAUCGCUCAACGGAUAAAAGCUACCCCGGGGAUAACAGGCUUAUCUCCCCCAAGAGUUCACAUCGACGGGGAGGUUUGGCACCUCGAUGUCGGCUCAUCGCAUCCUGGGGCUGUAGUCGGUCCCAAGGGUUGGGCUGUUCGCCCAUUAAAGCGGUACGCGAGCUGGGUUCAGAACGUCGUGAGACAGUUCGGUCCCUAUCCGUCGUGGGCGUAGGAAAUUUGAGAGGAGCUGUCCUUAGUACGAGAGGACCGGGAUGGACAUACCUCUGGUGUACCAGUUGUCGUGCCAACGGCAUAGCUGGGUAGCUAUGUAUGGACGGGAUAAGUGCUGAAAGCAUCUAAGCAUGAAGCCCCCCUCAAGAUGAGAUUUCCCAACUUCGGUUAUAAGAUCCCUCAAAGAUGAUGAGGUUAAUAGGUUCGAGGUGGAAGCGUGGUGACACGUGGAGCUGACGAAUACUAAUCGAUCGAAGACUUAAUCAAAA
rnacentral:rRNA from 1 species